GCUGCUGCUGCUCGCCGCAUGUUUCGCUUCCCUACUGCUCGCUACGUGCCGGAGGAAGCGACUGCACCGCACAGAAGGGGGCGCUGCGGCACCAGAGGGACACCGGAACCUGGGACAACAGAUCAACCCAAGAAGACUUCUGACUUUUUCCGAGGACGUCUUCUGUCACGAUGAUGCAUUGCAGGAAUGUGACAUAUUAGGAUCCAUGCUAUAUGGAAAACAAGGAAUUUAUAUCAAGAAGGAAGACGUGUCCACUGUGACGACGUGUGACGGAGUGCGAUGGGUCUGAGGUCCCGAGUGUAAUGGCCCCAGUGUUCGUUAUCUCGCAGCUACUCACCAGAGGUACAUCAAUCAUUCAUGCUUCGAGGACUCCACACAGGUCCCUCACUGACCCCACCUCACGUGCGGAACGGGCCACGUCGAGGGCAAACGAGGUCACCGAAAGUGAACAUCAAACCGCCGAAGACGAACAGGCCCCCUGACAGAGCUUUGCUGAAACGGGAACAGGGGAAAGCGAGAAACAUGAGUGGCACAUCAUCGCCGGGGCCUGUGGCGUUACACGGGGCGACGUCGGCUGAACGGAAGGUGGAGACAUGCUUAACGGAGCAGACGGACAGCGACGAUGAGGGCGAGGAUGAAGAUAAGACAGAGAACGUGGAGAACCUCUAUAAGUCUGUACAAACCAAUUCUAUAAAGAACUAUUAGAACCCAUCUAUCCCAGGGUUGGUGGCAUGAUGUCACCAUUGGGCUCCUGUGCGAGGCCCCUAACCCUCAUCUGCUCCAGGACUGGCUCACCCUGCUCUCCUGAAUGUGUGUCACUUUUGAUAAAAGCAUCCGCUAAGUAUAUAAAACUCAAAUUCUCUCUACAGCACUUCGGUCCUGUGUGGUUGUUUUAAAGUGCUUUAUAAAUAAAGUUGGUAUGGUAUAAAGCGUGAAAUGUAAAUAUGUACCCCAGUGUUGCACAGAAGUAGCUUUUCUCAUGUCGCUUUAGUAAUAUUACAUCUCGCGAGAAUGCAGCUCUUUUUUAAAUGAAUACUUCACUUUCCAGAUUAACGCUGUGAAGUUUAAUGCUAUUCUGAAUGCCUAAGAACAAAUUCUUCCUUCAUUUGAGAAUAUAUGUUUGUAAAUGAAUCAAUUUUCUGCUUGAAAUGACCGUAACUUUUUGCAGUAAAACAUAAAAAAUUGCUGCCUCGUUCCUCCUGAUUGUCAUCAUCGGUCGCAGGAUGUGGCCUGACUGCGCUGGCAGCGGGGGACUGAUCUUGUAACCCUCCUGCCACCAUAAUUAUCCUGAUUCCACUCGGGCAGAAACAGACAACGCUGACAAUUUGCCCACCAUAUCCUUCCUAUAACAAAUUCUGGUCAAAAAUAAAAACUGGAUUUAAGACUU